CGCGUAGGCGGACGAUCAAGUCAGGGGUGAAAGGCCUGGGCUCAACCUGGGAACGGCCUUUGAAACUGAUUGUCUAGAGUCCGGGAGAGGAUGGCGGAAUUCCCAGUGUAGAGGUGAAAUUCGUAGAUAUUGGGAAGAACACCGGUUGCGAAGGCGGCCAUCUGGACCGGCACUGACGCUGAGGCGCGAAAGCGUGGGGAGCAAACA
rnacentral:rRNA from 1 species